UGGGGAAUUUUGGACAAUGGGCGAAGCCUGAUCCAGCAAUGCCGCGUGUGUGAAGAAGGCCUUCGGGUUGUAAAGCACUUUUGUCCGGAAAGAAAUCCUUGGCUCUAAUACAGUCGGGGGAUGACGGUACCGGAAGAAUAAGCACCGGCUAACUACGUGCCAGCAGCCGCGGUAAUACGUAGGGUGCAAGCGUUAAUCGGAAUUACUGGGCGUAAAGCGUGCGCAGGCGGUUUGCUAAGACCGAUGUGAAAUCCCCGGGCUCAACCUGGGAACUGCAUUGGUGACUGGCAGGCUAGAGUAUGGCAGAGGGGGGUUAGAAUUCCACGUGUAGCAGUGAAAUGCGUAGAGAUGUGGAGGAAUACCGAUGGCGAAGGCAGCCCCCUGGGCCAAUACUGACGCUCAUGCACGAAAGCGUGGGGAGCAAACAGGAUUAGAUACCCUGGUAGUCCACGCCCUAAACGAUGUCAACUAGUUGUUGGGGAUUCAUUCCUUAGUAACGUAGCUAACGCGUGAAGUUGACCGCCUGGGGAGUACGGUCGCAAGAUUAAAACUCAAAUGAAUUGACGGGGUCAUAGCUGUUUCCU
rnacentral:rRNA from 1 species